GGUUAAGUUAGAAAGGGCGCACGGUGGAUGCCUUGGCACUAGGAGCCGAUGAAGGACGGGACGAACACCGAUAUGCUUCGGGGAGCUGUAAGCAAGCUUUGAUCCGGAGAUUUCCGAAUGGGGAAACCCACCACUCGUAAUGGAGUGGUAUCCAUAUCUGAAUACAUAGGAUAUGAGAAGGCAGACCCGGGGAACUGAAACAUCUAAGUACCCGGAGGAAGAGAAAGCAAAUGCGAUUCCCUGAGUAGCGGCGAGCGAAACGGGACCAGCCCAAACCAAGAGGCUUGCCUCUUGGGGUUGUAGGACACUCUGUACGGAGUUACAAAGGAACGAGGUAGAUGAAGAGGUCUGGAAAGGCCCGCCAUAGGAGGUAACAGCCCUGUAGUCAAAACUUCGUUCUCUCCUGAGUGGAUCCUGAGUACGGCGGAACACGUGAAAUUCCGUCGGAAUCCGGGAGGACCAUCUCCCAAGGCUAAAUACUCCCUAGUGACCGAUAGUGAACCAGUACCGUGAGGGAAAGGUGAAAAGCACCCCGGAAGGGGAGUGAAAGAGAUCCUGAAACCGUGUGCCUACAAGUAGUCAGAGCCCGUUAACGGGUGAUGGCGUGCCUUUUGUAGAAUGAACCGGCGAGUUACGAUCCCGUGCAAGGUUAAGCAGAAGAUGCGGAGCCGCAGCGAAAGCGAGUCUGAAUAGGGCGAAUUGAGUACGUGGUCGUAGACCCGAAACCAGGUGAUCUACCCAUGUCCAGGGUGAAGUUCAGGUAACACUGAAUGGAGGCCCGAACCCACGCACGUUGAAAAGUGCGGGGAUGAGGUGUGGGUAGGGGUGAAAUGCCAAUCGAACCUGGAGAUAGCUGGUUCUCUCCGAAAUAGCUUUAGGGCUAGCCUCAAGGUAAGAGUCUCGGAGGUAGAGCACUGAUUGGACUAGGGGCCCCUACCGGGUUACCGAAUUCAGUCAAACUCCGAAUGCCGAUGACUUAUCCUUGGGAGUCAGACUGCGAGUGAUAAGAUCCGUAGUCGAAAGGGAAACAGCCCAGACCGCCAGCUAAGGUCCCAAAGUAUACGUUAAGUGGAAAAGGAUGUGGAGUUGCUUAGACAACCAGGAUGUUGGCUUAGAAGCAGCCACCAUUUAAAGAGUGCGUAAUAGCUCACUGGUCGAGUGACUCUGCGCCGAAAAUGUACCGGGGCUAAACGUAUCACCGAAGCUGCGGACUGUUCUUCGAACAGUGGUAGGAGAGCGUUCUAAGGGCUGUGAAGCAAGACCGGAAGGACUUGUGGAGCGCUUAGAAGUGAGAAUGCCGGUAUGAGUAGCGAAAGAGGGGUGAGAAUCCCCUCCACCGAAUGCCUAAGGUUUCCUGAGGAAGGCUCGUCCGCUCAGGGUUAGUCGGGACCUAAGCCGAGGCCGAAAGGCGUAGGCGAUGGAUAACAGGUUGAUAUUCCUGUACCACCUCCUCACCAUUUGAGCAAUGGGGGGACGCAGGAGGAUAGGGUAAGCGCGGUAUUGGAUAUCCGCGUCCAAGCAGUUAGGCUGGGAAAUAGGCAAAUCCGUUUCCCGUGAAGGCUGAGCUGUGAUGGCGAGCGAAUUAUAGUAGCGAAGUUCCUGAUUCCACACUGCCAAGAAAAGCCUCUAGCGAGGUGAGAGGUGCCCGUACCGCAAACCGACACAGGUAGGCGAGGAGAGAAUCCUAAGGUGAUCGAGAGAACUCUCGUUAAGGAACUCGGCAAAAUGACCCGUAACUUCGGGAGAAGGGGUGCUCUGUUAGGGUGCAAGCCCGAGAGAGCCGCAGUGAAUAGGCCCAGGCGACUGUUUAGCAAAAACACAGGUCUCUGCGAAGCCGUAAGGCGAAGUAUAGGGGCUGACGCCUGCCCGGUGCUGGAAGGUUAAGAGGAGCGCUUAGCGUAAGCGAAGGUGCGAAUUGAAGCCCCAGUAAACGGCGGCCGUAACUAUAACGGUCCUAAGGUAGCGAAAUUCCUUGUCGGGUAAGUUCCGACCCGCACGAAAGGCGCAACGAUCUGGGCACUGUCUCAACGAGAGACUCGGUGAAAUUAUAGUACCUGUGAAGAUGCAGGUUACCCGCGACAGGACGGAAAGACCCCGUGGAGCUUUACUGCAGCCUGAUAUUGAAUGUUGGUACAGCUUGUACAGGAUAGGUAGGAGCCUUGGAAACCGGAGCGCCAGCUUCGGUGGAGGCAUCGGUGGGAUACUACCCUGGCUGUAUUGACCUUCUAACCCGCCGCCCUUAUCGGGCGGGGAGACAGUGUCAGGUGGGCAGUUUGACUGGGGCGGUCGCCUCCUAAAAGGUAACGGAGGCGCCCAAAGGUUCCCUCAGAAUGGUUGGAAAUCAUUCGCAGAGUGUAAAGGCACAAGGGAGCUUGACUGCGAGACCUACAAGUCGAGCAGGGACGAAAGUCGGGCUUAGUGAUCCGGUGGUUCCACAUGGAAGGGCCAUCGCUCAACGGAUAAAAGCUACCCCGGGGAUAACAGGCUUAUCUCCCCCAAGAGUCCACAUCGACGGGGAGGUUUGGCACCUCGAUGUCGGCUCAUCGCAUCCUGGGGCUGUAGUCGGUCCCAAGGGUUGGGCUGUUCGCCCAUUAAAGCGGUACGCGAGCUGGGUUCAGAACGUCGUGAGACAGUUCGGUCCCUAUCCGUCGCGGGCGCAGGAAAUUUGAGAGGAGCUGUCCUUAGUACGAGAGGACCGGGAUGGACGCACCGCUGGUGUACCAGUUGUUCUGCCAAGGGCAUCGCUGGGUAGCUAUGUGCGGACGGGAUAAGUGCUGAAAGCAUCUAAGCAUGAAGCCCCCUCAAGAUGAGAUUUCCCAUUCCGAAAGGAAGUAAGAUCCCUGAAAGAUGAUCAGGUUGAUAGGUCUGAGGUGGAAGUGUGGCGACACAUGGAGCUGACAGAUACUAAUCGAUCGAGGACUUAACCAA
rnacentral:rRNA from 1 species